CUCAACUGCUUAAGCUGGCCCACAAGUACAGACCAGAGACAAAGCAGGAGAAGAAGCAGAGAUUGUUGGCCCGGGCCGAGAAGAAAGCUGCGGGCAAAGGGGAUGUCCCCACUAAGAGGCCACCUGUCCUUCGAGCUGGGGUUAACACUGUCACCACCUUGGUGGAAAA